GUUUACAGUUUCUUACCUGGCUUUGAACAAAUUUACAUUGUUGGCUUGGCAGCUAUAUGCUGGGCCAUAUGGCUGGCCCGGAACAGGGCUACUUUCGAAUGCAAAUGGAUUAACUCUCCAUUUGAGAUCGUGUUCACAGCUUGUGCUUUUCUGAUAUACUGGGCAGGCCUCCAGAAACCUGAGAUGGAAGAGAUGGUGAAGAAGGGCGCGGAGAUGCUGAAGGAGAACACAACUCAGAUGAUGUUGCUGUGUUGA
rnacentral:rRNA from 1 species